rnacentral:rRNA from 1 species
CACGCCCUAAACGAUGUCAACUGGUUGUUGGGAAUUUACUUUCUCAGUAACGAAGCUAACGCGUGAAGUUGACCGCCUGGGGAGUACGGCCGCAAGGUUAAAACUCAAAGGAAUUGACGGGGACCCGCACAAGCGGUGGAUGAUGUGGUUUAAUUCGAUGCAACGCGAAAAACCUUACCCACCUUUGACAUGGCAGGAAUCCUUUAGAGAUAGAGGAGUGCUCGCAAGAGAACCUGCACACAGGUGC